rnacentral:lncRNA from 1 species
UUUAUGUGUUGAGUUAGUGUUGCAUUUAAUUAUUUUUAACUGUGUUUGUUAAUUAGUUUAUAACAGUGUUUGAUAUUUAAAUGUUGUCUAAGGUUUUUAAUAGUGUUAGUUUAAUUACCAUGCUGGCUCAAAUUAGUUUGUUUGCAUCUGUGUUAUAUCGAGUUCUUUAAUUUUUGCAACACACUUUCAAAACCCCCUCCCUU